rnacentral:lncRNA from 1 species
AACUUUAAGAACCACUUCACAUCAGCUUGAACACCACCUCUGGUUUUAAUUGCUAGAAAUUAUACAUCAAUAAAUAAAUAGAACUCUUUUACAGUCAAUGGGAAUGACUAAAUCAGCCCACAGAACACCUUGCAGGUUUUAAAAACCUGCUAACUGCAGUGCAAGGACUCAAGUCGAAGGAGAUUGCCGCGCCAUUUCAUCCACCACAAUUCGGUGGAACGUCUCUUCUAAUAUCCAUAGGACAUUUGCAGGUGAGAUUGAAGAGCGAUUAUAAAAUACUCACCAUUCAAUGUGGUUUUGCCAAGAUGGGAUGCAAAAACAAAUUGGGGUUGUCGGUAAAAUCGUGCUAAGUGGGACCUCUACAGCUCUCAAUUCGAUCUCCGAACCGUCGGUCUUAAUCUAGACAGUACUUGGCUGAAUGCUCCCCGAAAGCGGCUAAGUUUGAUAGCAUCGCGCACUCGCUGAAUGGAAAUCCACGCUUUUCGAUGUUUUCGGGGUCCAUACUCUUUGGGAUUCGAGAAAACUGGGCCAGACAUGCUUACACCAAAUCCACCAUCGCCCUUUUGGUAACCAAGUCCGGCGAAGUAUUCACCUUCUUCGGCGAGACAUCCAUCUUGGCCCGGGCAGUUAUUGGGGAACCUCUGAAGGCCGCCAUUGCUAUCCAUAGAGAAUCGCCUUUGCGCAGGGAGGGACAUCGACCGUGCGAAGCGGUUGCGAUUCUCAAAGUCUGAAUUGUCUUCCGCAAUUGUUUCCAGAGUCAUCUUCAGUGGCGGCGUUCUAUACGUGUUCGCACUUGCCAUCCGCUGCCCAGUUAGCUUCGGCUGAUCCAGCAUCUCCAUGGGAAACCCCACGGGAAGCAACAGCUCGAUACCUAGUGCUAAUUGGACACAAUGGUUCUUUAAAUAUUCAGAUCAGCUUGCGUGUAGGAACACCGCACCUUCUCCUUCCCCAUGGAUCAGACACCGUCUAAAUUAAGCAGUACACACAACUAUAAAACUGUCACAAAAAGAGUGGAACUCACACCUUUCUCACAAACCACACGAGCUCGACGGCAUGAAUUUAAUCUCAAACUCUCGUACCCCUCAGAUUCGAGCGCCAAAACCAAUGAUUCUCCCAAGACACAUCUACCUCCCAAGGCGCUCACUUAAAAACAUUCCCAACAGCGAUAUAAGUAGAAAUCGACGCUAGCAGAGACCAAGUCGCCGCUACAGAAGAUGAACCCCUCACACCGAAAACUCGGAACGCUAGCAAGCUUUAACACGGUGGCAGCCAUCGAGCGCGGAACACAAGGCGGGAUUGUCACUUUCAGCAGGCGCCGCGGACACGCUGGACUCCAGCAAAUGAAGCGAGAGACGAUGUGUUAGGCAAGGCGAAGUCGUUGGUGUCGUCCCGACCGGUCAAUCCUCUUUGAACGCGCCACCAGGAAGGACUUUCUAUUUUACCUCCAGAGAGCGAGUGCACUAUUGACGAGUCACGCGCUUGGAUUCAGACCCUUUGAACACGGCGGCGAUGCAGCAUGAGAGCCCUUCUCUUCUAUUAUUCAAAACCCCCCCGCCCCCCCGGGUCGAGGAAUCCCGAAGGUAGACUCGUUCUUCCGAAUUGGCGGACUAAGAUAUCAUGAGUAGACUGGUGGUGGCCGAAAAUAUUUUUCUUACUUUCUCCUUCCUUUCUUCGUGUGUGUGUGUGUUUGCGCGCGCGUAGUGCUGUGCAGUGCUUUGUUGUUGUUUUUCUUCGCGAGCGUCGGCGAUGGCGUCGUCUUUUCUUCUCGUUCCCGUGGCUGUCGUCACCACCGCGGCAGGUGCCCGAAGCCAGUCAUGGCGGUGCCUGGUUUGGUGGGGAGAUCCCCAUGCCUACCCCGCAUUUCGCCGAAGUGGGAGGUCAGGCUUGGGUGGGGAGAUCUUUUGGGCCUCACGUUGACGUGCUUCGUCUGCAACAUUGUCGACGUGGCAAACAUUUAAAGAAAAUUUAGUGAUUCUUUAUGUCACACAUUUUUAUUGAAUGUUGGAGGGUUUUAUGUGGUUAAAUUUAAAAAUUGUUUUUAAGAAAUGUGGAAUAUAAAUUUUGGAUUUACAUACUUCUUUUUCAAAUUAAAAUUAUUUGUAAGAAUAGAAUAGGGAAAUUAAUAUGUAAGUAUUAUGCUUAUGGAAC